rnacentral:misc_RNA from 1 species
AAUUCUCAACCUUUUCAAGCUUUGUUUUUUAAGGCUAGUUAGGCUUGGAUUCUGGAAGUGUGCUGGUUUCUUAGCAAAACUCAGCUCUUCUUAAAUGCAUUAGCAAAGAUUUUAAUCACUUUGGAUCAUCUUUGAUAUGAUAAUUAUCUAUAUCACUAAUGGACAAAAGUGUUUUUCUUUUUUUAAAAGAAAAGAUCUUUGCUUCUAAUUUGUCGUCUCUAUUUAUUAGAGACUGAUCAUUGAACC